GAUGAACGCUGGCGGCGUGCCUAAUACAUGCAAGUCGAGCGAACAGACGAGGAGCUUGCUCCUCUGACGUUAGCGGCGGACGGGUGAGUAACACGUGGAUAACCUACCUAUAAGACUGGGAUAACUUCGGGAAACCGGAGCUAAUACCGGAUAAUAUCUUGAACCGCAUGGUUCAAUAGUGAAAGACGGUUUUGCUGUCACUUAUAGAUGGAUCCGCGCCGCAUUAGCUAGUUGGUAAGGUAACGGCUUACUAAUGCAACGAUGCGUAGCCGACCUGAGAGGGUGAUCGGCCACACUGGAACUGAGACACGGUCCAGACUCCUACGGGAGGCAGCAGUAGAGAAUCGUCCGCAAUGGGCGAAAGCCUGACGGAGCAACGCCGCGUGAGUGAUGAAGGUCUUCGGAUCGUAAAACUCUGUUAUUAGGGAAGAACAAAUGUGUAAGUAACUAGGCACGUCUUGACGGUACCUAAUCAGAAAGCCACGGCUAACUACGUG
rnacentral:rRNA from 1 species